rnacentral:rRNA from 1 species
GACGAACGCUGGCGGCGUGGAUUAGGCAUGCAAGUCGAACGGUAGGAUACCUUCGGGUAUCUGAGAGUGGCGAACGGGUGAGUAACACGUAGGUGAUCUACCCUCAAGAUUGGGACAACCCAGGGAAACUUGGGCUAAUACCGGAUGAAAGCAGCAGUGAUGUUGUUUGAAAGGUGGCGUAAGCUGCCGUUUGGGGAUGAGCCUGCGCUCUAUUAGUUAGUUGGCGGGGUAAAGGCCCACCAAGGCGAUGAUAGAUAGGCGGCCUUAACGGGUGGUCGCCCACACUGGGAUUGAGAUACGGCCCAGACUCCUACGGGAGGCAGCAGUCGAGAAUAGUCUACAAUGGCCGAAAGGCUGAUAGUGCGACGCCGCGUGAACGAAGAAGCCCUUCGGGGUGUAAAGUUCUUUUAUUAUGUGAGCAGUGCUUUCUUAUGUGAACAGCAUGGGGAGAGAGAUAUUAGCAUAUGAAAUAAGCAACGGCUAACUCCGUGCCAGCAGCCG